rnacentral:rRNA from 1 species
GAUGAACGCUGGCGGCGUGCCUAAUACAUGCAAGUCGAGCGAACAGACGAGGAGCUUGCUCCUCUGACGUUAGCGGCGGACGGGUGAGUAACACGUGGAUAACCUGCCUAUAAGACUGGGAUAACUUCGGGAAACCGGAGCUAAUACCGGAUAAUAUAUUGAACCGCAUGGUUCAAUAGUGAAAGACGGUUUUGCUGUCACUUAUAGAUGGAUCCGCGCCGCAUUAGCUAGUUGGUAAGGUAACGGCUUACCAAGGCAACGAUGCGUAGCCGACCUGAGAGGGUGAUCGGCCACACUGGAACUGAGACACGGUCCAGACUCCUACGGGAGGCAGCAGUAGGGAAUCUUCCGCAAUGGGCGAAAGCCUGACGGAGCAACGCCGCGUGAGUGAUGAAGGUCUUCGGAUCGUAAAACUCUGUUAUUAGGGAAGAACAAAUGUGUAAGUAACUAUGCACGUCUUGACGGUACCUAAUCAGAAAGCCACGGCUAACUACGU